UGACGCAAGCCAAAUUGGACAUCUGACCAGACAUUGCUGUUGGUCCAACUUGUUGAUGAGCGGAAGUCAAUCAUCAAGGGCAAGUUUGGACCGGGAGUAACAUCAAGAAUGAAGAAGGAGGCAUGGGGGGCAUGGGGAGGUGGCAGCCAAUAUCAAUGCUGCAUUUCCUAACGUUGUUAGGUCAAACGAUGACUGCGAGAAAAGAUGGUACAACAUCCAGUCCAAGUCAAGGCAAGAAAUAUCUGCUUUCAAGAGACAGCUCAGUGGCACUGGUGGAGGGCCUGGUCCAAGCAAGCUGAGUGCUGUUUCUGAAGCAGUUUAUGAUGUUCUUGGCCAAUCCAAUGUCAGCAUAAGUGGAAUUGAGGGGAGCUUCGAUUCAACCCUUUUACAGGUCAUGGACAUAUCAAACUGAAGUCAGGAAGCUGCUGUCGUUGAAGCUGAAGCCUGCUUCCCCCUGGAUGUGCUAGCCUCACCCCAGCCCAGCUGUGCAGCUACAGCAGCAUUCUCCACUCAAGUUCUACCCUGCACAAUGAACGGACACCUCAGUGACAAAGAACUUUCCAGGAAAAAAACAUUGUUGCAGAUUGACGUGCUUCAGCUUCAGAAAGAAUUAUUAAUGCUUAAAUUGGAAAAGAUGAAGACAGAUCAAUCUGAUAAGUAAAUGCAAGAACUAUGUCUGUACAUGCUUUCCAAUAUCAAAAUUGUUU